AGAACAUGCUGGAUCACAAUGGGGUGGGGGCAUUAUAUUGUGAUGGAGGAGUGCUAUGUCACGUUGCUAUGUCUAUUGCGACGAUGGGGAGCUCUAUCGCGAUGGGAGAGCUUCCUAUCGCGACGGUCGGACCUUUAUAACAGUGACUGGGAGCUCUAUCGCGACAGGCGGGUGUCCUAUCGCGACAGUCGGACCUCUAUAGCAGCGACUGGGAGCUCUAUCGCGACAGGCGGGUGUCCUAUCGCGACAGUUGGACCUCUAUAGCAGCGACGGGGAUCUCUAUCGCGAUGGGAGAGCAUCCCAUCACGACGGUCGGACCUCUAUCGCAGCGACGGGGAGCUCUAUCGCGACGGGAGAGCGUCCCAUCGCGACAGUCGGACCUCUAUCGCAACGACGGGGGCAUCGUGUCGUCCCGCAGGUGAUCCCGAAGCGGACGAACCGCCCCGGAAUCAGCACGACGGAUCGGGGUUUCCCCCGUUCUCGUUACCGGGGUCGCGGCGGAGGCGGCGGUUACGGGGCGAGCCGAGCGCGAUUCUACAGCGGCUACAGUCGGCCCCGGGGGAGGGCCUACAGGGGCCGAGCCAGAGCCACCUCCUGGUACUCCCCAUACUGAAGGCCGUCAGCGCCCCACAAGUGUGGGGCAGAGAAAAGGGACGGGAGGUGGGGGAGGGGAGGAGGAGGAGGAGGAGGAGGAGGAGGAGGGGGCGGGGCCAUCCCUUGACCCCGCCCCCCUCCCGCUCAAGCCCCGCCCCCUUCCCCGUGAGUCUCCUUUGUCUUUCAGGUGGCGGAGCCGCAGCCAAUGGGACGACGCCGUUGGGGGCCGAGGGGCGGGGCCAAGCAAUGAGGGGGCGGGGCAGAACAACAACAAGAAAAAAAAAAUAUGACUAUUUGGGGGCGUGGCUUGUUGGGAGGGGGCGGGACUUCCGGUCCGGGGGUGUGGUCACAGGAAGUGGAGGAGGAGGAGGAGGAGGAGGAGGAGGAAGAGGAGGGGGAGGGGAAAUAAAGGCCCCCGGGGGGAACCGGAAGUGUCGUGUGAGUCUUCAUGUGGGGGGGCUACGACCCAUAAGUGUGGGGCUGGACCCAUAAGUGUGGGUCAGACCCAUAAGUGUGGGGGGGGACCCAUAAGUGGGGCGUCGGACCCAUAAGUGGGGGGUCAGACCCAUAAGUGAGACCCAUAAGUGGGGGAUCAGACCCAUAAGUGUGGGGCAGGACCCAUAAGUGUGGGGUGAGACCCAUAAGUGGGGGGUCAGACCCAUAAGUGUGGAGUGGGACCCAUAAGUGCGGGGUGGGACCCAUAAAUGUGGGGCAGGACCCAUAAGUGGGGGGUCAGACCCAUAAGUGAGACCCAUAAGUGGGGGGUGGGACCCAUAAGUGUGGGGCAGGACCCAUAAAUGUGGGGUGGGGACCCGUAAGUGGGGGGUGGGACCCAUAAGUGUGGGGCAGGACCCAUAAGUGGGGGGUCAGACCCAUAAGUGAGACCCAUAAGUGUGGGGUCAGACCCAUAAGUGUGGGGUGGGACCCAUAAGUGUGGGGUCAGACCCAUAAGUGUGGGUCAGGACCCAUAAAUGUGGGGUGGGACCCGUAAGUGUGGGGCAGGACCCAUAAGUGUGGGGCAGGACCCAUAAGUGGGGGGUCGGACCCAUAAGUGAGACCCAUAAGUGUGGGGCUGGACCCAUAAGUGUGGGGCAGGACCCAUAAGUGGGGAGUCAGACCCAUAAGUGGGGGGUCGGACCCAUAAGUGAGACCCAUAAGUGUGGGGCAGGACCCAUAAGUGUGGGGCCCCAAAUGACCCCGUUGACCCCUAAUGGUCACAUGACCCACCCGUGACCUCUAAUGACCCCCAAAUGACCCGGAAGUAAUCAGCGCCGGGUUCGUCAUUGGCUUUUAUUGUUCCGGGCUUUGGGGCGGAGCGAAGGGCGGGGCUUCAGGGUUAAGCCCCGCCCCCUUUCCCGAGCGGCGUCCAUUGAUUGGAUGAGAGCCACGGCGCGGCGCUGGGGGCGGAGUCAGAGGGGGGAGGGGUCAGAAAGGGGCGGGGCUAAAAGGAAGGGGCGGGGCUAAAGGGAAGGGGCGGGGCUAAAGGGAUCAG
rnacentral:lncRNA from 1 species